UUUCAGAGCACAUUUGGUUAAGUUAUUGACAGAUGGGAAGCCUGUGUGGGCUGACACAAAUGGUUGUCACACGCCAUCUAGUGGCUCUAUGAGAAAGUGUGCUCAUUUCCAGGGAAAGAUUUUUGGAGCCAGCUUGUCUGCUUCGGAAUUUCAGCGCCUGCCAGGAAACCAAUGUACGUUUGUCCAUCUUUAAGGCUUUAAACUGAGAGGGACCACUGAGGACAGUAUGCCAAAUUAUCUUCCAAAAUCUCUGUCCUAAGGAACACCUAGGAAGUAACUAUUCGGGGGAACUGUUUUCUUUCUGGAUCCGGAGCAAAACUGGGAAGUCAUCGGAGAAAGCUUUGCCUGCAACAGUUGUGGUAUAAAACAAGCCUCUACGAGACACACUGUGGGUAUCCCGUGGUCCAUAGUACUAUACGGAAACCACUGAAGAGGGGAAGUGGACAGAGGAUUAAGAGUGUGUACUUUGCCACAAAACUCCCUGGCUUGGAAUCCUGGCUCUGGGACCUUGAGAAGCACACAUCUAUUCCUUGAAGAAUCCUGACUCUUAAGGUGUCAGUUUGGGGGCUGUGGACAGAAGCACAUGGGGAUGGCCGUGCUCGGUUUAGCCACUCCGGCACUGACGUGAUGGAGUCUGUCCAACUGGAGGAAGGGAAGGAGGCUGGGCGAUGUUGCUAAAGAACCAUCACUUUUGCAAGAGAAUUUGAGAGUAAAACAAGCUAAGACAUCAGUUUGGCCCUCACUCUCACUGGGCCCAGCUUGGAGCAAGGACAUCUUUAGGUGACAUAACAGAGUCCUAAGGGUUUUUCGUAUGUUAGGAAUAAAUGCUUUUGGUUACUGAUUAAAAUCUGCCUC
rnacentral:lncRNA from 1 species